rnacentral:rRNA from 1 species
AGAGUUUGAUCCUGGCUCAGAUUGAACGCUGGCGGCAUGCCUAACACAUGCAAGUCGAACGGAAACGAUGGAAGCUUGCUUCCAGGCGUCGAGUGGCGGACGGGUGAGUAAUACUUAGGAAUCUGCCCAUUAGUGGGGGACAACUCGGGGAAACUCGAGCUAAUACCGCAUACGCCCUACGGGGGAAAGCGGGGGAUCUUCGGACCUCGCGCUAAUGGAUGAGCCUAAGUCGGAUUAGCUUGUUGGUGAGGUAAAGGCUCACCAAGGCGACGAUCCGUAGCUGGUCUGAGAGGACGAUCAGCCACACUGGGACUGAGACACGGCCCAGACUCCUACGGGAGGCAGCAGUGGGGAAUAUUGGACAAUGGGGGAAACCCUGAUCCAGCAAUGCCGCGUGUGUGAAGAAGGCCUGCGGGUUGUAAAGCACUUUCAGUAGAGAAGAAAAGCCUAUGGUUAAUAACCGUGGGUCUUGACGUAACCUACAGAAGAAGCUCCGGCUAACUCCGUGCCAGCAGCCGCGGUAAUACGGAGGGAGCGAGCGUUAAUCGGAAUUACUGGGCGUAAAGCGCGCGUAGGCGGCUUUGUAAGUCGGAUGUGAAAGCCCUGGGCUCAACCUGGGAAUUGCAUUCGAAACUGCAUGGCUAGAGUAUGGUAGAGGGAAGUGGAAUUUCCGGUGUAGCGGUGAAAUGCGUAGAUAUCGGAAGGAACACCAGUGGCGAAGGC